UACGGGGGGGGCAAGCGUUGUUCGGAAUUACUGGGCGUAAAGGGCUCGUAGGCGGCCAACUAAGUCGGAUGUGAAAUCCCCAGGCUCAACUUGGGAACUGCAUCCGAUACUGGAUGGCUCGAGUUUGGGAGAGGGAUGCGGAAUUCCAGGUGUAGCGGUGAAAUGCGUAGAUAUCUGGAGGAACACCGGUGGCGAAGGCGGCAUCCUGGACCAACACUGACACUGAGGAGCGAAAGCGUGGGGAGCGAACAGG
rnacentral:rRNA from 1 species